rnacentral:rRNA from 1 species
ACAGAAUAUUUUAAAAAGCUUUUUACCUCAGAGAUCGAGCAACCUAAUCAGGAUGUGUUAUCACUGGUAAAGAGGAGAGUAUCUACUGAGAUGAACAAUGCCCUCCUUUCUCUGUAUACGACUGAUGAUGUUCGUAAAGCCUUGUUCGACAUUGGGGAUUUGAAAGCCCCAGGGCCUGAUGGGCUCCAUGCUAUUUUCUAUAAAAGGUUUUGCCCAAUGUUAGGAGAUGAUCUGAUCGAGGAGGUUUUGAAAGCAGUAAACACUUGCACUAUCCCAUCUGGCUAGAAUGAUACUGCGAUUGUGAUGAUACCAAAAGUCAAUUCUCCGGAGAAGGUAACCCAGUUUAGACCAAUUAGUCUGUGCAGUGUGGUGUAUAAAAUUAUUGCAAAAAUGAUUGCCUCUCGCCUAAAGGUGUUCCUACCAGAUAUUAUUAGCCCAACUCAAAGCGCAUUCGUUCCUGGAAGACUUAUUACGGACAACGUAUUGGUGGCAUACGAAUGAUUCCACACCAUCAAGAAAAAGAGAGCAGGCAAAGAAGGAUUAUGUGCGAUAAAUUUGGAUAUGCAUAAAGCUUAUGACCGGGUUGAAUGGCCUUUUCUCAAGGAGAUUAUGCUCAAACUUGGAUUUCGUGAGGUGUGGGUAAAUUUUAUUAUGGAGUGUGUUUCUACUGUUGAAUAUCGUAUUCGGUUUAAUGCGGAGGGGAGUGAAAGUUUUAAACCUACUAGGGGUCUGAGGCAAGGAGACCCACUGUCUCCUUACCUGUUCCUGUUAUGCACGGAGGGUCUCACAGCUUUACUAACGCAUGCGAAAGAAAAUGGGAAUAUUUCAGGAGUAAAGGUUUGCAGAGAUGCCCCAUCUGUCACGAACCUUCUUUUUGCUGAUGACUCUUUAAUCCUUAUGAAAGCAAAUUUGCAAAGUGCAGAAACAUUAAAAUCAGUUCUAGAUUCGUAUUGCGCAGCUUCAGGCCAGAUGGUCAGUGUCGACAAAUCCAGCAUCUUUUUUAGCCCUAAUACGGGAGUGGACACUAGAGAACAAAUGUGUACAAUUCUCAAUAUAAUGACUGAGGCCUUGAAUGACAAAUAUUUAGGACUGCCUGCCAAUGUGGGUUUAGAUAAAACCGAUUGUUUCCAAUACUUAAUUGAUUGUAUUGUACAGAGAAUUAGUGGUUGGAAGGAGAAACUUCUGUCGGCUGGAGGAAAGGAGAUCUUACAUAAAGCGGUUGUUCAAGCCAUUCCCACCUAUGCAAUGUCGGUCUUUAAAAUUCCUAAAAAAAUUGCAAAGGAAUUAGACGCGAUGGCGCAUUUCUGGUGGGGAGAUGAGGACAACCAAAGGAGGAUGCAUUGGAUGGCUUGGUGGAAAAUGUGUGUACCCAAGAACCAAGGAGGAAUGGGUUUUCGGGAUAUCCAUUGUUUCAAUUUGGCUAUGCUUGCUAAACAGGCUUGGCGUCUUCUCGAGAAUCCGGAUUCUCUAUGUGCUACUAUUUUGAGAGUCAAAUACUAUCCUGACGGUGACUUGUUGAACACUGACCUGAAGAAGGGAUCCUCCUUCACCUGGCAAAGUAUUAUGGCGGGUGUGAGCUCCCUGAAGCGUGGUCAUAUUUGGCGAGUGGGAAACGGGCAGAAUAUUGACAUUUGGGAGGACGCAUGGAUUCCAAAUUGUGCAAACCAUAAAAUUGUUACCCCUAAGGGAGGCCAGUUGUUACGGAAGGUAGCAGAUUUGAUUGAUCCAAUCCUAAAUAGUUGGGAUGAAGAUCUUCUCAGACAGACUCUAUGGCCUAUUGAUGUUCAGCGAGUGCUUACGAUCCCGAUAUCGCAACAUGAUAUGCCAGAUUUCAUAGCUUGGAAUUUCACAAAAAAUGGGAAUUUUUCAGUUCGAACUGCUUAUUUUGUGGAAUGGGACCACCAAUAUGGGAACAAGUUACGACAUACCAAUGGGAUCGGACGUACCACGGUCAAUCCUAUUUGGGAGAGGAUUUGGAAACUUGCUUGUCCAGCAAAGGUUAAAAUAUUUAUUUGGCGUACACUUCACGGCACUAUUCCGUGUCGUGUUAACUUAGCUAAUAGACAUGUGUAA